rnacentral:rRNA from 1 species
CGUACACUCCUGCGGGAGGCAGCAGUGGGGAAUAUUGGACAAUGGGCGCAAGCCUGAUCCAGCCAUGCCGCGUGAGUGAUGAAGGCCCUAGGGUUGUAAAGCUCUUUCACCGGUGAAGAUAAUGACGGUAACCGGAGAAGAAGCCCCGGCUAACUUCGUGCCAGCAGCCGCGGUAAUACGAAGGGGGCUAGCGUUGUUCGGAUUUACUGGGCGUAAAGCGCACGUAGGCGGACUAUUAAGUCAGGGGUGAAAUCCCGGGGCUCAACCCCGGAACUGCCUUUGAUACUGGUAGUCUUGAGUUCGGGAGAGGUGAGUGGAAUUCCGAGUGUAGAGGUGAAAUUCGUAGAUAUUCGGAGGAACACCAGUGGCGAAGGCGGCUCACUGGCUCGAUACUGACGCUGAGGUGCGAAAGCGUGGGGAGCAAACAGGAUUAGAUACCCGUGUAGUCCCAUGA